UGACUAUGAUUUUAAAAUUCCCGCGCUUCCGAGGGCUUGCCCCUUGACGUCACCAGGACAAACGGUUGAAUUUCUUUAGAUGAGUUG
rfam:Physcomitrella patens subsp. patens PHYPAscaffold_25 genomic scaffold, whole genome shotgun sequence.